GUUUUAAUAGUUUAAAAAAAACAUUGGUCUUGUAAACCAAAAAUAAAAAUAUAUUUUUUAAAACU
rnacentral:tRNA from 1 species